GCCAUGCAGAGAUGUUAAAGCAAAGUGAUUCUAGGCAAAGGAAACAUCCAGUAUAAAACCCCUGAAGCAGGAGUAUGCCCAGCUUGUUUGAAGAGCUCAGUGUGCUGGAGUAAAGUAACAGUGAGAUGAGCUGCUGCACUGAGAAGUGACUGAGGGGGCACAGAGACAAAGUAGAGAGACCAGUUAUGAGGCAAAGAUCCAGAUGGGUCUUUGCAGAGACCAGAUUUGACUUCUGCUUCAUGAGAAAAUUUGAAAAUAUUUCUUUUAACAGGCAGUUCUCCAAACUUGGAAGUUCCAAGUGAAUCAUGUUUUGAAUAACAAGAAUAGGAAAGCCUGAGUCUCAUGACAUCAUUGAACAGCUGAGCCAAGUUGGAGACAUCACAUAUCUAGACGUUUUUUGUUGUUGUCGUUCUUGUUGAGGAAGAUUCACCCUGAACUAAUAUCCACGCCAAUCUUCCUCUAUUUGGGGUCACUGUCACAGCAUGGCCAACUGAUAAGUGGUGUAGGUCCAUGCCUGGGAACCUAACCUGGGCUGCUGAAGCAGAGCACACUGAACUUAACCACUAAACCAAUAGGCCAUGGGGCUGGCCCCACAUGUUUAGACUUUUUGGUGUAGUAACAAUAAAUGUCCUAUUGGUUGAGCUUUCUGUCACUUGUAGUCAAAUACAUUUUAACUCAU
rnacentral:lncRNA from 1 species